GGAGAAAUGGCUCAACUGGUAGAGUGCUGGACUUGCAUGCCUGAGGUUCUGGGUUCAAUCCCCAGUCCC
rnacentral:tRNA from 1 species